ensembl:miRNA
CGGAGGCUAACCGUACCUUAGCUCUCAGUACCGGAGGCUAACUGUACCUUUAGCUCUCAGU